GUGGUUGUAGCUCAGUUGGUUAGAGCGUCAGAUUGUGGUCCUGAAGGUCGCCGGUUCGAUCCCGGUCAUCCACC
rnacentral:tRNA from 1 species